GCCGCGCGCCCGUCCACCCGACCUCUGCGCCGCGCCGCGCAGCGCCCCAGGCCACGGCCUCCGUGUCGCCUGACCAGCACCCUGUGCCCGGCCUCCGCGUCGCGCCCCAGGCUACGGUCUCCGCCCGGCCAUGUGCUGUGCCGCACCGCGUGCCCGUCCACCGCCCGCGGUGCACCAGCGUCUUCUAGCGCUCCGGCAGCACGAAUACGUGCGGCAGUGCCCUCCCAUCGGCAGCGAACAGUGGUGCGUAGCACGGCGGCGUGAGCCAAAACGAAUCCUUCGAUUCGUAACCGCACAUGAAAAUUGGAAAGGCCAUGGAGCCUUAUCCCUUCGCGAUUAUACACUUUAGCCCAUGCGGCUUUACCUAUUUUCAUAAUAGGCUUGUGUGUAUAAAUCUUGAAGUAAUUCCUGUACGUCUUAGGAUAACUGAACAUGGUUCAACUACUCGUGCUAUUCAUUAGCACUUGUCAUCUUUAUUAGACCAUGUAUGCAUGGAUAUGCAUUUCAACCCAUUUUCUGUUGAGUUUUACAAUUCUAGAAAUAUGUGUAUAUUUAUAUUUGACAUGUUCAAUGUGUUUACCACAUUCUUCAAAACAUGUUUUUCGCGAUUGAGAUUAAAUUUUCUCGCACAACAAUAUUGAUUUGCGAUUGAGAAAUAUAAUUUUUCUCGCAAAACAAUCUCAUUGCGAUUGAGAUUAAUUUUUCUUCCGCAAAAUAUUAAUUCACCUUGCUGAAUUAUCUUGCAACUUGAUACAAGAUCAUCUCAUUUAAUUUGAGAUCUAUAUAAUUCAAGUUUUUCACUUGAAC
rnacentral:rRNA from 1 species